rnacentral:rRNA from 1 species
ACCCUACGGGACGCAGCAGUGGGGAAUCUUCCGCAAUGGGCGAAAGCCUGACGGAGCAAUGCCGCGUGAGUGGAGAAGGCCUUCGGGUUGUAAAACUCUGUCCUUAUCGAAGAGAGGUAGGUAUGUGAAUAAUGUACCUAUAGGACGGUAGAUAAGGAGGAAGCCCCGGCUAACUACGUGCCAGCAGCCGCGGUAAUACGUAGGGGGCGAGCGUUGUCCGGAAUCACUGGGCGUAAAGGGCGCGUAGGUGGUUUAAUAAGUCAGUGGUGAAAACUGAGGGCUCAACCCUCAUCCUGCCACUGAUA